rnacentral:rRNA from 1 species
UACGGAGGGUGCGAGCGUUGUCCGGAAUCACUGGGCGUAAAGGGCGCGUAGGCGGCCUGAUAAGUAGGGGGUGAAAUCCCUCGGCUUAACCGGGGAACUGCGUCUGAUACUGGAUGGCUUGAGUUUGGGAGAGGGAUGCGGAAUUCCAGGUGUAGCGGUGAAAUGCGUAGAUAUCUGGAGGAACACCGGUGGCGAAGGCGGCAUCCUGGACCAACACUGACGCUGAGUGAGCGAAAGCCAGGGGAGCAAACGGG